AUUGAACGCUGGCGGCAGGCCUAACACAUGCAAGUCGAACGAAGUCUUCGGACUUAGUGGCGGACGGGUGAGUAACACGUGGGAACGUACCUUUUGGUUCGGAACAACUCAGGGAAACUUGAGCUAAUACCGGAUGAGCCCUUAGGGGGAAAGAUUUAUCGCCGAAAGAGCGGCCCGCGUUAGAUUAGCUAGUUGGUGAGGUAAAGGCUCACCAAGGCUACGAUCUAUAGCUGGUCUGAGAGGAUGAUCAGCCACACUGGGACUGAGACACGGCCCAGACUCCUACGGGAGGCGGCAGUGGGGAAUCUUGCGCAAUGGGCGAAAGCCUGACGCAGCCAUGCCGCGUGAAUGAUGAAGGUCUUAGGAUUGUAAAAUUCUUCUACCAGGGACGAUAAUGACGGUACCUGGAGAAAAAGCCCCGGCUAACUUCGUGCCAGCCGCCGCCGUAAUAC
rnacentral:rRNA from 1 species